GACGAAACGCUGGCGGCGUGCCUAACACAUGCAAGUCGAGCGAGGAGAGUUCCUUCGGGAACAAACCUAGCGGCGGACGGGUGAGUAACACGUGGGCAACCUGCCUUGUAGAGGGAAUAGCCUUCCGAAAAGGAAGAUUAAUACCGCAUAACAUUACAGUUUCGCAUGAAACAGUAAUUAAAGGAGUAAUCCGCUACAAGAUGGGCCCGCGGCGCAUUAGCUAGUUGGUGAGGUAACGGCUCACCAAGGCGACGAUGCGUAGCCGACCUGAGAGGGUGAUCGGCCACAUUGGGACUGAGACACGGCCCAGACUCCUACGGGAGGCAGCAGUGGGGAAUAUUGCACAAUGGGGGAAACCCUGAUGUAGCAACGCCGCGUGAGUGAUGAAGGUUUUCGGAUCGUAAAGCUCUGUCUUCGGGGACGAUAAUGACGGUACCCGAGGAGGAAGCCACGGCUAACUACGUG
rnacentral:rRNA from 1 species